rnacentral:rRNA from 2 species
GAGAGUAAACAGUGCGUGAAACCGCUCAGAGGUAAACGGGUGGAGUUGAACUGCGAUCCUUGGGAAUUCAGCUGAUGAGCAUGAUUUGUGCUUGGGCAUAUUGACCGCCUUUCAGUGUCUGCUUAGCUGCGGGUGCCUGCCUCUGGUGGGUAUGUGUGGUGCGCUUAUCAUGUGCCGCACGCAUUGGAGGGUGUAUGAGUCUGCUUGUCGGUGCACUUUCUCAGGGUGUUCACCACGACCGGCACUGCUGUCUGUCCGCUUUGGUCAAACUGAUCAGGUCUGAUUAACGUUGGGCUUGGUUGGGUUGGCAGGUGACUCACUGGUCCAUUCUGUGGGCUAUGAGUGUUACUAGCCGGCUUUAGUGGAUCUGUACGGUGUGUCGGAGACGGCGGCUUUGCAUAUGCGCUCUGUCCUUCAGGCGUGGUUGAGUCUGGUCGACUUGUUGCUAGUUUCGGCUGGUCAGUUGAUGGCUUGAUCAUGUUCAGUUGGCAGUGGUGUGUGUGUCUUAGUUUGGGCCAAUAGUCUGUGGUGUUGUGGUAGACUAUCCACCUG